CAUAAUUUCAGCUUUUGGUACCCAUCUUCUGGGUCCACGCUUGUUAGUCCACAAUUGCUUAUUAUGUUGUCUAGUGUUGGAGAAAGAUCUUGGUUUGGAAUAAUGACCUUUUUGAAACCUUUUCUUUUGAAAUCUGUUAUUAUUCCAGGAUUUGGAUUGUUUAUGAUUCCAGGGUUUGUAUUUAUCACCAAUCCCAUGUUCUGAUUGAUUAUAUCUACUGACUCUAGAAUCAUA
rnacentral:lncRNA from 1 species